AUAGCGUAUAUUAAAGUUGUUGCAGUUAAAAAGCUCGUAGUUGGAUUUCAAGGAACAUCAAUGGGAAACCAUUGAAUUCCUAUCAGUCUUUGACUGUUACUGUGAGAAAAUUAGAGUGUUUCAAGCAGGCUGUUGCCCGAAUACAUUAGCAUGGAAUAACGAAUGUGUCUAGAAUCUUGGUUAAUUCUAGAUUACGAUUAAUAGGGACAGUUGGGGGCAUUAGUAUUUAAUUGUCAGAGGUGAAAUUCUUGGAUUUGUUAAAGACUAACGUAUG
rnacentral:rRNA from 1 species